GUGGGGAAUAUUGGACAAUGGGCGAAAGCCUGAUCCAGCAAUGCCGCGUGAGUGAUGAAGGCCCUAGGGUUGUAAAGCUCUUUUACCAGGGAUGAUAAUGACAGUACCUGGAGAAUAAGCUCCGGCUAACUCCGUGCCAGCAGCCGCGGUAAUACGGAGGGAGCUAGCGUUGUUCGGAAUUACUGGGCGUAAAGCGCGCGUAGGCGGUUUUUUAAGUCAGAGGUGAACGCCCGGGGCUCAACCCCGGAAUUGCCUUUGAAACUGGAAAACUUGAAUCUUGGAGAGGUCAGUGGAAUUCCGAGUGUAGAGGUGAAAUUCGUAGAUAUUCGGAAGAACACCAGUGGCGAAGGCGACUGACUGGACAAGUAUUGACGCUGAGGUGCGAAAGCGUGGGGAGCAAACAGUAUUAGAAACCCCUGUAGUCC
rnacentral:rRNA from 1 species